rnacentral:lncRNA from 1 species
AGAGCUAACCCCAACUGGUUUUUUGCUCUCAUUUCUCUGGGUGACUGUCCCCACCCCUCUUUUCAUCGUGCUCACACUAGAUUGAGUGGACGCCUCAGAGAUAAGGACAGACAUUUCUGAAGAAGCCUUUUAUUAGCUAAACGUGUGGCAGCGCUUCUGUGGUGGAGGAGUGUAGAAUGGCACGUUCCAGAGCGCAGCAAGAAUGAAUGAAGGCAAAGCCUCUGUUGGGCCUGGCUUUCCUUUCCUGGGUGCCUGACAGGGCAUAUCAAGUGCAGGGUGUGACCCGCCAACGGGGCCUUUGCAUGGCACCGCCAACCUCAGCAAGGAUUCAAAGGCAGCUCUGGAGCAUGGCUAAAAGGCAGCGUCUGGGUGGUCACAGUCCAGGACCGGAACUUUUCCAGCGCAUCUGUCCUUACUCAGCUGGCCAAGUUACUGCCUAUUGAUGAAAGAGCAAGAUUCCCCUCUAGCGGUCAUUCUCAUUAUUGCUGGGAGGAAAAAAGCUGAGACAUCUGUGGGGGAAAAAUCUCUCACAUCCAUGUGCAAAAAAAUCACACACACACAGUAAAAAAAAUCCUAAAACUAAUCAUAAAUUCCCUCAAAUGUGUUUCAAUUUAAAAAAAUAUCGAACUACUAGAUAUUUCCUGAACUGCCCUUUAACAAAAUUCACUGGCUCUAUCCCCUCCAUCCAAAAAUCUGCUGCAGGAACAAAAGUUUCAAUAUUCACUAAAAAGCAAACCUGAGUCCUUUAAGGAUUGAGUUUUUAAUGCGAUUACAACAAAACUGCUGGGAGAGAAAAAGGAAAGAGGAGUUUAACUAAAUCUAUGCCCAUGGGUUCUUCCGUGCUUUUGUAAACAUGUCUCUGGGUUUUUCCUUUUCCCCUUUUCACAUGAGCCAGCUUUGAUGUAGCACUUCCUGUAAUCCUGUUUGCCUCCUUAACAACUAUUAUUGUCAUAAAUUUUUUAAGUCUUCUGAUUUACCGCUCCAUGCAAAUGGAAACAUGAAUAAAUGCUUAUCUUUCAUAAGAGGAGAAUGAAAU